rnacentral:pre_miRNA from 1 species
AAUAAGACCAUUUUUCAGUUUUUUAUAUAAUGUUUUGACUCUUCGUCUUAUUUAAAAUUUUUUUACGAUUAAUAUUUUUAUUUUUACUAGAUGAUAAAAUAUAAAUAGUACUUUAUACAUGACUAUUUUUUUUUAAAUUUUCGUACAAAAUUUUUAAAUAAGAGGGUCAAACGUUGGAUUUAGAAAA